GAAUAUUCAGAGUAACUUUAUUCAUAAGAGUAAAAAACUGGAAGAAACCUCAAAUAUCUGUCAACAUCUGGACAUAUAAACAAAUAGAUAAACUGGUAUAUUCACAGAAUGGAAUACUACCUAGCAUUAUAAGGAAUAAAAUAUCAAUACAUGCUACAACAUGGAUAAAUCACAAAGUAAUUAUGCUGUGUAAAGGAAACCAGGUUUAAAAAGAGUACAUAUGACUCUGUGUAUAUAAAAAUCUAAUAAAUACAACCUAAUAUAUAGUGAUAGAAAGCUUAUGGAUGGAUGGUGAAGGGUACAUGGGGAAUGGGGGAGGGAGGGAUUAUAAUGAUGCAUGAGAAAAUUUUAGGGAUGAUGGAACAUGUUUAUUAUCUUGAUGUGGUAUCUACCUAUGUCAAAUCUUAACACAUUGUGUACUUUAAGUAUGCGUAGUUUAUUACAUGUCAAUUGUAUCUCAAUAAAGCUGCUAAAAGUUUUGUAGUCACAGUAACAAAUAUAAAAUAAGCAUUAAAAUGUAAUAUAGGUGUACAUUAUUGACUUAAAACAUUUUGGUAAAUAGUAUAAAUGUGAAUGCCAUUUAAAGUCUUGUUUAUGAAAAAUCACAACACUAGCAAUCUCCUUUUCUUAGAGCUGGAAUGGAUAUUGGGGCUGUGGAGCAGAAAUGAUACGUAAGUGACUGUCUCCUCAGAGGCAGGGCUAAGAGAAUUAAGUAACCCGCCUAAGGUCAACAGUCAAUCGAUAGACAUGUACUUCAAUUCAGGCCUACCCAUGCUGGAUAGCUCUCAUUUGCCCCUCUAGAUUUACUUCCCAUCCUCUCCACCCCGCCCUAAGCCUUAGGAGGCUAACCUAUAAGGACUACAUCAUUGGUCUAGGUUUACCGCUGGCUUCCCAUUGGGUUGGGCCAAUGAGGAGCACCAACAGGAGAUGAGGAAAAAGGAGGAGAGUGAGGUCAGCGUAUUCAUUCUCACACUUCAUUCCUUGGUGACCCCAGUGGAGUCACCCUCGGGCUCACUGUGCCCAUCCACUGAAGCUUUGCAUCUCCUGUCAAGUGGUCCUCUUCACAUAGUCAUCUCCCUUCAGACUCCAGUAGCUGCUUCUUCCCCUCGCGUGUUCAGACUGGAGAUGCUCACCCAGGUGCUGACAGUUCUGAGAUGUUGCGCUAUCUCUUGUAGUUUCCUUACAACCUGUAAAUGCCUUU
rnacentral:lncRNA from 1 species